UUUGGAAGAAAUUUUCAUAAAAUACGCCCAAUACAGAGAUUCUUGUCAGAAAAACAAAAUGUGGUAGUGCUACUCAAUUUUUAUUUUUUUUGGUGUUUUUUCAAAAAAAAAAAAAAAAACAAAAUUAAUUGUAUUUUUUUCAAAAGUGUUCUUUUAAAUAGAAGUUAUAACAAAAUUACCUCAUACAGGAGACGGACGAAUAACUACACCACUUGUUAAAAAUCGAAGGGAAGAAUAUUUUUUUUGAUCUGAAUCCAUGAAGCUUGUAUUCUUUGUGCCCUGUAUAAACUUACAAUAUAAACUUACAAUAUAUUGUAUUCUUUGUGCUAGGGGUGUUCAAAUUCGGGUACCCGGGUUUUUGGGUACCCGAAAAUACGGGAACCCGGAGUUUUGGGUAAUUGUUAAUUCGUCCCAUGUCCCGACCCGAAUAUGUUGGGUACUUGAAUUAUUCGGUUCGGGACAUAGGGUACCCUGUUUUGUUUGAUUUUUUUUUUUUGUUUUUUUUUUUUUUAAUAAAUAACAUGAUACUACACUACUACAAAACCCGCAUAUUUUAGACACUUUUGCCUUGACGCCUUGGCUGUGGUGUCAGUGUACAAUUUUUAGUUUUGCUUUUUCUCGACACUUUUACGUGUCAAAGGUUUGUCUCGAUACAUAAAAGCGUCAAGAAAAUCACGUGUCAUACACGUGACUCCCUGUUGCCCGCAAUUUUAAAAUUUAAUGAAAAAAAGCGGGUUGUAUUAUAAAGAAAUACUCCCAAUUAAACCGCCCACUAUUGAAUCAUUCAUAAACUAGUUUGCUCUCUACUGAAUAAGCGGCUCAGUGCUACAACAUACGGAUCGGAGUAAAUUAUGGGUUUUCUUGCUAAACUUCAACGAAUUUGGGGGGAUUUUGCUCUUCACUUUCAGAAAUUUCAGAACAAGAAUCGAUCUCUUAUUGCAAGCUUCGAAAGUUUCUAGUAAAGAGCUUCUGACGAUGGCCGCGUUGAUGUGGGCUGCGAGGUGGUGUCGUAACAGGGUUAUUUUUUAUAAUGAAACCCCCUUACCUGUUCUUGUUGCUGUUGGUCCGAUGAAUAAUGUCUUGGAGUAUGGGGAUUAUGCGUGCAAGGUGUUUAAGCCACCUAUUAUUUCCUAUGAUCCUGCUGUUGUGCGUUCGUGGAAGUGUCCUAAUGUUGGGCUCAUCAAAGUGAACUGCGAUAAUCCCAUGUUUCAUACAAUUUUUUGAACUGAUUAUUUCUUUUAACUUAAUUUUGUUAUUUUAUUUAGAUGCCAAGGGUAGCACUACAUUAGUAAGUGGUAUUAUUCUGCCAAUUGACGUGUGGAGUAAUAACGACGUAUAGUAAUAUGUUGAAUUUAAUGAUUUAUGCCAGCCAAUUAGGAAAGGUGGACACAUUUUGGUUAAAUUCAUUAGUAUGAUUGCGAAGAUGGAGUCACAUUUUCCUAUUGGGGGAAAAGAUUGGCAUGCAAUCGACAAGCAUUUCAAAGGGAAGAUAAUUACAGACAUAAGAGUAAGUAUAUUCGACAUCCCCUUUCAUUAGCACCAUUUCUACUCAUGACUCUCAUAGGACCACAUAAAUCAAUAUGUAUUAAUUACAGUGGUUAAGAAGUGCUAAUGUGUGACUUUGGCUUGAAAGAUGAUCUAACAUGCUUUUCUUUUGCACAUUCUAAACAAAUUUUGUCAAUCUCAUAACUGAUAUUAGGCAAACCUUCAACCAGAUUUUAAGAUUUCAAUUUGUUGUCCAAAUCUUUUAUGCAUAGCCACUGAUCUUUCUCUUAAAUAGCAUUAAGACAAAUAGAUUUGUUCAUAUGAAUAUCAUCCAACUAAGGGAAAUAAAUGUCAUUCUUUCUGGUUCCCAGACAAACAACCGUUCCAGUCUUAUUUUCAAAUAUUUGACAAAGGUUGGUUGAAAUUCAACUCUAUUACCUUGUCACAUAGUUGAGAUAUACUCUAGAGAUUAUGUUGCAAGCCUACAACGUAAUAAACAUCAUCAAUACUUUGAGAGAGUGACUUACCAACCUUACCUAUACCAAAAACUGUUCCCUUGUUGUUGUCUCUGAAAGUCAUACUCCCUCCAUCAAAGGCAGUGAGUGAGAGGAAUUGUCAUUUAUCACUUGACAUGUGUCUUAAGCAUCCACUUUCAAAAUACCAAAAGGUACUGUUACUUUAGAGGAAUACUACAAGAGUGGGGGUGAAUUUUAGUUUGGGAGAAUUUAUCUAACUUUUCGCGGAACUGAUAAAACUAAGCUAAAGGAACUUUAAAGAAACACAGAGAGAUUUUACGUGGAAAAUCUCUUGGCCCUAACAAAAGGAAAAACCACGACCACAAGGGAUUUUAGGAAAGAUUCUUCACUAUAAUAGGGAAAACAACCUAUUACAAGCUAAAGGAUCUAACUUCAAGUUCCUCUACGUACUUCAAGUUCCCAGCAGCAAGUCCCAUUACUUGCCACUCUUCUCUUCUCUCUUCUAGUUUCUCUCUUUCUUUACAGACUUCUCUUUGAGUUCACUCAGACUCCCAAUUCCCCAAUUACAACUCAAAUGAAUAAUACUUUAGUGAAAGAAAUUAAAAAAGUUAACUCUUAAGUAGAAUGCGACUCUUGACUCUUUUAGAAAACAAGAAAGAUAGAAAGAUAUGAUUGAGCAAGGUGAAGUUUUCCAGAGAACAACUUCGAUAUAUAUAGAAAAACAUUACUUGAUUAAAACGCCACAAUUUCCACUACUCACACCACUAUUGCUGCAUCUUAACGCCACUACUUUCCACCACUACCAAAGCAUCAAACAUGUCCUAAAAACCAGGGUGCGUUGAACCUCUUAGAAGCAGUUUCUUGUGUUGGUCGUGAAGACUAAAUCAACAGGUAUUGGCGUAAGUUUAGGAAGUUGGUUUUUCUAACCUUUUCAAAGAUAUUUUUCCUGAAAAAGAUAUUAACUAAAGAUAAGAACAGAAAAGAUAUUUUUGAAAACAAUAUUUCCUUUAUUUUAGCAAUCAAAGAAAUUCUAUCUAAUUGACAAAUUCAAAUCACAUACUACUCAUCAUCAACUCUUAAUUAAUCUCACUUUCAUAAAUCCUAAAACAUGAAAAAUAUUUUAGACUUUAAUUUCUCUAAGAAGUCUCUGCUCUGAGUCUUCUUUCCUUAGCUUCUGCUCUGAAGCUUCAGUUCCUACGCAGGAACUCUGCAACAUGUCUUUUAAUCUUUUAGCCCGUUCCUUUGCCUUGAAUUAAUCCUGCAACUUUAUUAUAAACAAACUACAAAACUGAUUAAGGCAUUAGUCCUUUUAUUUGUCUUGUGUUAUCAUCAAAACAUCAAGGGCAACAAUAUUCCCCCUUUUUUAUGAUGACAAACUAGGCAAAAACAUUAGAGCAAAAAUAAAAUUAAAAGACAAGUAAACUAUUGUAAAGCAAAAUAAAUGAUAAAAGAAAUAAGAAAAGUUUUAAUACCUGACUGAGAAUCAGAGAGUCACAAAACUUUGAAGUAGAGAUGGAUGAUAAGUGUGUAGGUAGUUUUCCUGUACUUUCCCCCUUUUGGCAUUUUCAAAAACACAAUGUAUAUAGCAAAUUAUCUCAAGCACAACACCAUAACAUGGUUUAAAUGAUAAGGCAGAGAGCAUAGAAACAGUCCAAGCAGAAAAUAUGCACAAAAGAGUAAUAAAACAUCCAUCCAAAACCAAUGUUAAAACAUCGGCCAAAAUGCAGCAAAUUCACAAGUUCACAAAAAAAAAAAAAGUAAUCCAUGUUUUAGUUACAGACUCAAAAGCAAAAUAGAAUUGUUCAAGAUCAGCAAAAUAAAAACAAAGUCAUCAUCAUCACAAGCUGAAGGGACAGGAAACUAGUUCAGACUACUUCUGUAGUAAGAUCAUCAAGCUUUGCUGCAAUCUUCUCCACCACCUACUUGAUUGCUGCAUCUCUUGCUUGAGAAACCUCGAGAAGAAAAGCCUUUGCAUCACUUGCACAACUUGAACUAGCUCUUUCCAAAGAAUCCAACCUGUCUGAAUUACUCUUAAGGUGCGAGAUGACCUGCUUAAGCAUUUUCUUCAAUUCCUAAAGCUCAAUUGUAACAUCUUCAUUGAGCAUGGCUAGGGAACUGAUUUAUUCGAACUCUGUUCCUUUAGGAGUAGUUUUAGGAGGAGAUCCUAGUGGUGUAGGAACUACAGUCUCCUUCCCUAUGUCCUGUUCCCCUAAGUCAAUGUGAACAUGUUCUAUUUCUUUGUGGGCACUCUUUUUAGACAGCCUUAGACUUUUCCUCUUUUUCCCUCCUGUCUCCUGGGUUCCUACUUCCUGCACUUCUACUUCAACAGACUUCUCCCUCUCUCUCUUGUUUUCCUUUUUAUCACCCUCUUUCUGUUUGCCUUCUUCAACAUCUUCCCCCUCAAUUUGAGCCUCCUUUUUAACUUCUAUUUCAGAGGGUAUCUCCUCCAAACAUCCAUAAACCACAUGCAAGCCUCGAUUUUCAAGGAAAGAGCGAUGGACAAAUUCAUUUGUUUUGAGAGGCAGUGGUUCAAAUUUUGAAAGAUCAACACCAAAGCUUUCAAUGACAGUGGUGAGAAGGUUACCAUAUUGUAGGGAAUAUUUCAAGCAUUAUCCCAAACUUGAACCCCACU